AUAAUAUUAACGGCGUAAAGAACGACCAAUAGUAUGUCUAAAUAUUAGGAGCGAAGCUAAACUAGGCUGUAAAAAGCCAUAAGUCACACUAACCACACCCUAACAAAAAACAACUACCACUCGUGAAAGCCGGGAUACAAACUAAGAUUAGAUACCUUACUAUGCCCAGCCAUAACACAACAGUUAAAUCACCAAUUGUUCGCCAAAUAACUACGAGUAAAAACUUAAAAUUUAAAAGACUUGACGGUAUCUCAAAACAACCUAGAGGAGCCUGUCUAAUAACCGAUACUCCACGAUUAACCCAACCUACCCUAGCCUAACAGUCUAUAUACCGCCGUCGCCAGCCUACCUUGUGAAAGAAACAUAGUGAGCCAAAUAGUCACACACUAAUACGACAGGUCGAGGUGUAACUCAUGAGUGGGUCAAAGAUGGGCUACAUUUUCUUAACACAGAAAACACGGAUAAAUCUAUGAAAUAGAAACUGAAGGCGGAUUUAGCAGUACAGUGGGAACAAUAUACCCAAUAGAAAUUAACGCAAUGAGAUGCGUACACACCGCCCGUCAUCCCUGUUAACACAACCAAAAACAUAAAUAAU
rnacentral:rRNA from 1 species